rnacentral:rRNA from 1 species
UGGGGAAUAUUGCACAAUGGAGGGAACUCUGAUGCAGCGACGCCGCGUGAGUGAUGAAGGAAUUCGUUUCGUAAAACCCUGUUCUAUGGGAAGAAAAGGACUGUACCAUAGGAGAAAGCUCCGGCCAAAUACGUGCCAGCAGCCGCGGUAAUACGUAUGGAGCGAGCGUUGUCCGGAAUUAUUGGGCGUAAAGGGUGCGGAGGCGGCUUUACAAGUUGGAUGUGAAAUAUUGUGGCUUAACCACAAAAGUGCAUCCAAAACUGAAAAGCUUAAGUUAAGGAGAGGUAAGUGGAAUUCCUGGUGUAACGGUUGAUUGCGUAAAUAACGGGAGGAAUACCAGUGGCGAAGGCGACUUACUGGACUUAAACUGACGCUCAGGCACGAAAGCGUGGGGAGAAAACAGG